GAACCCCCUUUUACUUUGCCAAUUGGACUUAUGUUUUCAUUGGUCAUUCAAAUCCUUUUAAAACUCAGGCAAACUGAGUGUCUGUCCUGUAUUCUGUCAGAAGAAACAAAC
rnacentral:snoRNA from 1 species